GGAGCGCGGGGCUGACCACCAGGCAGGGCGGGAAAGAAAGGGGAUUGAGUCUGUCAGACAACAGCACCCUCUACUCCUGCCAGGGCUGCAGGAAACGGGGAAGCAGCUCCCACGGCCACGCACUGCACGAAGGAGAAGGCCCUGCCCAGAGGCGACAAGGGACAAAGUGCGGGUCUCUGAACAGUGAGGCUGACAGGCCGAGGCCAGGCCCCUGAGAAAAGGCAGCCCAGCCGCUGGCUUUCUUGGGACCAGACGGCCCCCGUGCGGCCGCUGACAUCUCCUCCCAGCUUUUCAGAGAAAAUGAACACAGGAAGGAACAGCCAGACGACCCCCAUGAAACAGUGCACACACCUCCCCACAGCCCCCAGGGCCAGGGCAAGGCUGUCGGGAGGGGCGGGGUGAGCGCCGCCGUCGGUCCGGCUCCCCGUGCAGCAUCUCCCGGAGAAAGGAGCCGUGAUUGUCAGAUUCACUUGUACCUUCGACCCCUGGGUCACUGUGAUUGUUCAGGAAAACGUCACCCCGACAGAGGCUUGCCCAUGAUUGCUACUUCCCACGUGCACAGGCGCGGCUUGAGCGAGGUAAAGUGAUCGGCAGUUACAAUCGGCUAAACUGAAAAGCACUCGCCCGCGGAGCAAGGAAGCCAGGUCUGCAGGAGGGAGGACACUGCCGCUGGCGCCCAGGCCUGGGCAGAGGCCGGAGGUUAAGCAGUGACAGGAAGAGGCCCUCCCCCACGACCCCACCUGGACAGAGGCUGCGGCCUGCGGCUGAUGGGGGUCGGGAAGGCGCUCAGAGCGAGCAGCAGCCGAGGGGCAGGGGCCAGCUCCGCAGUUCAAG